UACAGAGGGGGCAAGCGUUAUUCGGAAUUAUUGGGCGUAAAGGGCGCGUAGGCGGCCUGGCAAGUGGAAGGUGAAAUCCCUCGGCUUAACCGAGGAACUGCCUGUCAAACUGCAUGGCUUGAGACCGGGAGAGGUGAGUGGAAUUCCCAGUGUAGCGGUGAAAUGCGUAGAUAUUGGGAGGAACACCAGUGGCGAAGGCGGCUCACUGGACCGGUACUGACGCUGAUGCGCGAAAGCGUGGGGAGCAAACAGG
rnacentral:rRNA from 1 species